AAUCUCUUUCUGGAGAUUUUUCCUCUUGGAGUUUUUCCCUGUGAGCCUGUGACAUGGCACAGGGAGUAUGCAUAUGAAGAGAAGAUAAUGGCCCAAACACAACAUCCUGUGGAAAAGCUUGGCUGGAGUCUUUUCCAAAGCAAUAAUUAUUGGAGGAAUGGGAUGAGAAACAUGAAGACAGAAUCACAGGAACCAUUAGAGACUAAAUUUCGUGAAGAGUAUGCUCUCUGGAGUCCAGUCACGGCAUCCAAACGGACUAUUUUGAGCUCCGUCAGAUUUGCAACAGAACUCUGGGAUCAGAUGAAAGCCUGAAAAAUAUUUGGGAGAAAACUGAAAAAGAAGCUUUGAAAAUAAUGACUGAAGACAGUGUGCCCAAAUUGUGAUGCUUAACAGGAUCCUUCUGACCAUUUCAAGAGUAAGGAAAGAAUAUGAGAACAUCACCUGAGCCAUCUGUACUGUCACAAAAAUAUCAGUGUUACAUUUUCUACCUUUAGGAAAUGUGAACUAUCCUAUUAAGUCUCCAGAAAUGUUGGCUUGUGGAAAUUAAGUGACUUCAGUGCUGAUGAGCAAGCAUUUUUGUACUUCAAGCUCCCGGUUACAUAAGUAAUCAAAGACAACAAAGUGAAUACUGGAAUUUCCUGGUCCUUAUGAAAACCUUUAGGUUUCAGCAUAAGGCAUUUUUUGAGAAAGUUCUGGGCAUUUCUGAGAACACUAAUAGAUGCAGAAACUACAUAGUGUAUCACAGGCUCAUGAAAACAACUAAUUCAAUAUCAUUCUAUAUUUAAUGUUGUUCAGCUACAGAGCAACGCUACUGCAGUGUGGAAAAUCACUGGCAGGUUUACAGGGAUAUGCAUAUUACCCAGUAUGACAGAAUCAAAGGAUGAAAAAUGACUUGUAGACUUUGGUGAGAGCAGGAAAGUCAAAAUAUGCACAAAACUGAAGAAAAACUUUAUCAUAGUUUAGACACAGGCGCUUUAGAAUUUGGAAAGGUCAUCAUAAACUCUGAAGCCUACAGAAAUGUCACUUCCUCGCAAUGAGCUAAACAUGAAGAAACAUAAAGAAAUUGGAAGCUUCUGCUCAGUCUUUUAAAGACUACAAAGCAAAAGAAAAACUAGCAGCUGGCAGAGAAGAUUGAAGUAAAGGGCAAAAAUACUGGAGAACAAAGGUUUUUAUGGACUAAUUUUUUUUUUUUUUCAGACUAUAAUAAGCAAUUUAACAAGUGAAGAUGGGAACAUAUGUGAAGAUAUAUGGCUUCAGCAGAUCAAAGCUAGAAGACAGAUGAAAUGGCCAAAAGGCCAAUUGAAACCUGUUGAUCAACUACAGCUGAUCCUGUGUAACAACAAAAAAUGUUACGUUUAGAUGCUGUGCUGGUUGGAGUGCAUCGUUGUAGCUUUCACUGAUCUUUUCAUUUAUGCUCUCCCUCUUGUAUCUCUGGCCCACACUGUCUCUUUAAUUUUUAUCACCUCACAACAGAGUUUCACACUUUCUUCCCAUUUUUGACUAGCAUAAGAUUAGUGACCAGGGUCCAUCUGUCUGCUGCACAGCAUUGUUGUAGGUUUUGAAAGUAAAAAGCAGCACAGAGAAAGCAAGAGCAUCAACUGAUGUAAAAGUUUAGCUGGGUGAACAUAUGGGAAAGGCCCUUCUCUCUGGCACACUCUGCAAAAAGACCUAGCAAGGUGUGAGUCAGAGCUUGGAUGUGAGAACACAGGGAUUGACUUGAGAGAAGAACUAGAAGAUGGUCUCCUUCACCUUGAUCAGUUAAUUUUAGGUAACCUGAAUGACAGAUUUAUCAAUCUGGAUAUUUUUGACCCACCCAUCCACACUUGUGCCACUACAUCUGUCCAUUGGGGUUUUUUAAUUAGCUGACUUGCUUUCCCUCCCUGGAGUUGUCCUCCUGAGGGAUGAUUUCCAUGGUAUACCACACUGAGACCAGAAGCUGAGCACUAUCCUUCAUUAAGGAUGACUUGGGAUAUUUUUUCAUGUGCUAACAUAAUUCCUCAACCUGGGAUGCUGUACACCUUGAAAGUCCUCUUCUGCAGGCUGGGUCAGCCUCUCUGUUUCCUUGGCUGUGAUUCAGCCCCUUUUACUGAGCUCACUAAGCACAGCCUGCUCUGCAUAAACUGGGAAUACUCAAGACUCUGGUGAUCUUGUUAAAUCUCUAAAAACAUCCUACUUUGAAAAGAGAUGGAGUAGUAACUUGUCUCCAAAAGUUAUGGGCCUGCUGUUGCUCUUUUAGUUCCUCUGAAUAUGGCCCUGCAGACAUAUUCUCCAGGCUUUUACUUUACCUCCAUAUUGAGUUCUGUAUGAAACCCUUCACAAGGAACUUGGACUUGUGCAUGCAUGCUGGCAGGGAUGC
ensembl:lncRNA